UUUCUUAAACUUGACAGUGAAAGCACUGGACGUUGAAGCAGAAGAUCAUGAGUAACUAUCCACCACCAGGGUAUUCUUCCAAUCCCGCAGGUUAUCCUCCGCCAGGUGUUAAUCCUUCAAUGGGCUAUCCUCCUCCAGGUUAUCCGCCACAAGGACAGGGAUGUCCUACUCCGGGACAAGGCUAUCCUCAGCCUCCACUACCUCAAGUUAUUAGUAUUCAGCAACAGCCACCUCCACAAACAUCAAAGCGUACUGGCUGUGUAGAGGGAUG